rnacentral:rRNA from 11 species
CAGCGGGACGAAAAGACCCCGUGAACCUUUACUACAACUUUACAUUGGCUUUAGCUGUCGCAUGUGUAGGAUAGGCGGGAGACUUUGAAGCGGCGUCGCCAGGCGUUGUGGAGUCACCCUUGAAAUACCGCCCUUGCCACAGGUGAAGUCUAACCCUUCCGGGGGAACAGUGUAUGGUGGGUAGUUUGACUGGGGCGGUCGCCUCCCAAAGAGUAACGGAGGCGCGCGAUGGUGGGCUCAGAGCGGUCGGAAAUC